rnacentral:rRNA from 1 species
CCGACGGUGAGGGGUGAAAGCUGGGGGAGCAAACCGGAUUAGAUACCCGGGUAGUCCCAGCUGUAAACUAUGCAAACUCAGUGAUGCAUUGGCUUGUGGCCAAUGCAGUGCUGCAGGGAAGCCGUUAAGUUUGCCGCCUGGGAAGUACGUACGCAAGUAUGAAACUUAAAGGAAUUGGCGGGGGAGCACCACAAGGGGUGAAGCCUGCGGUUCAAUUGGAGUCAACGCCAGAAAUCUUACCCGGAGAGACAGCAGAAUGAAGGUCAAGCUGAAGACUUUACCAGACAAGCUGAGAGGUGGUGCAUGGCCGUCGCCAGCUCGUGCCGUGAGAUGUCCUGUUAAGUCAGGUAACGAGCGAGAUCCCUGCCUCUAGUUGCCACCAUUACUCUCAGGAGUAGUGGGGCGAAUUAGCGGGACCGCCGCAGUUAAUGCGGAGGAAGGAAGGGGCCACGGCAGGUCAGUAUGCCCCGAAACUCUGGGGCCACACGCGGGCUGCAAUGGUAGCGACAAUUGGUUUCGAAUCCGAAAGGAUGAGGUAAUCCACAAACGCUACCACAGUUAUGACUGAGGGCUGCAACUCGCCCUCACGAAUAUGGAAUCCCUAGUAACUGCGUGUCAUUAUCGCGCGGUGAAUACGUCCCUGCUCCUUGCACACACCGCCCGU